UACGUAGGUGGCGAGCGUUAUCCGGAAUUACUGGGCGUAAAGCGCACGCAGGCGGUCUUUUAAGUUUGACGUGAAAGCUCCCGGCUUAACUGGGAGAGGUCGUUGAAGACUGGAAGACUUGAGGCAAUGAGAGGGGUGUAGAAUUCCCGGUGUAGUGGUGGAAUGCGUAGAUAUCGGGGGGGAAUACCAGUGGCGAAAGCGGCACCCUAGCGUUAGCCUGACGCUCAUGUGCGAAAGCGUGGGGAGCGAACGGG
rnacentral:rRNA from 1 species